rnacentral:tRNA from 1 species
GGGGGUAUAGCUCAAUGGUAGAGCAUUUGACUGCAGAUCAAAUGGUUCCUGGUUCAAAUCCAGGUACACCCU